rnacentral:rRNA from 1 species
AGCUCCAAUAGCGUAUACUAAAGUUGUUGCAGUUAAAAAGCUCGUAGUUGGAUUUCUGCGUGGGCGGGGCAGGCGGGCCAAAUUGGCUUUCGACCUAGCACUUCCCGCGCAUCCUGGCACGAACAUCGCUUCCAUUAGCUUGGUGGCGGCUGGGAUUGCCUCGUUUACUUUGAGAAAAAUAGAGUGUUCAAAGCAGGCUCAUUGCCUUGAAUAAGUUAGCAUGGAAUAAUGAUAAAGGACUCCGGUUCUAUUUUGUUGGCAUUCGGGACUGAAGUAAUGAUUGAUAGGGACAGUUGGGGGCGUCUGUAUUUCGGAGCGAGAGGUGAAAUUCUUAGACCUCCGGAAGACAAACCGCUGCGAAAGCGUUCGCCAAGGAUGUUCCCU